rnacentral:piRNA from 1 species
UCAUUUAAAAAUAAUGAGGCUGAGUGUUC